rfam:Myotis brandtii contig146801, whole genome shotgun sequence.
GCCAGUGUGGCCCAGUGGUUGAGCGUCUACCUAGGAACCAGGAGGUCAAGGUUCAAUUCCUGGCACAGACU